UACUAGAGUAGCACUCGCAUAUCAAUAAGCGGAGGAAAAGAAACUAACAAGGAUUCCCUUAGUAACGGCGAGUGAAGCGGGAAGAGCUCAAAUUUGAAAUCUUCAAGGUUUUACCUUGACGAAUUGUAGUUUAAAGAAGUGUUUUCUGUUGAAGUUUUGGUAAAAGUUCUUUGGAAUAGGACAUCAUAGAGGGUGAGAAUCCCGUAUUUGACCGUUAUUUUCCAGCUGUGUGAUACACUUUCAAAGAGUCGGAUUGUUUGGGAAUGCAGUCCAAAAUGGGUGGUAAAUUUCAUCUAAAGCUAAAUAUUGGCGAGAGACCGAUAGCGAACAAGUACCGUGAGGGAAAGAUGAAAAGAACUUUGAAAAGAGAGUUAAACAGUACGUGAAAUUGUCAAAAGGGAAGCGUUUGACACCAGUGUUGUUUUCUCGAAAAUCAAUUAAAAAUGAUGGGAUUUUGUGUUGUAUUGACUUUAUCAGCUUUCUGCACUUUUUUCUUAUCUUUUUUAAUGCACUUUUCGUUUAACAAGUCAACAUCAAUUUCUUUUGUUGUAAAAGAGUCAUUGGAAGGUGGCUUUUUCUUCGGAAAAAGUGUUUAUAGCCUUUGGCUUCUGCAAUCGGAGAGAUUGAGGUCUGCAGCGUAGAUCCUUCGGGGUUAGAUGCAUUUGUGCUAAGCUAUAGUUCUUUAUAGACAACUUGUUGACUAUAAUCAAUCCUGUAACUUACUCGCUUAUGCUAUUUUACCUACGCUUAGGAUGUUGAAGAUAUGCGCGACACG
rnacentral:rRNA from 1 species